AUUGAACGCUGGCGGCAGGCCUAACACAUGCAAGUCGAACGGUAACAGGAAGAAGCUUGCUUCUUUGCUGACGAGUGGCGGACGGGUGAGUAAUGUCUGGGAAACUGCCUGAUGGAGGGGGAUAACUACUGGAAACGGUAGCUAAUACCGCAUAACGUCGCAAAACCAAAGAGGGGGACCUUCGGGCCUCUUGCCAUCGGAUGUGCCCAGAUGGGAUUAGCUAGUAGGUGGGGUAACGGCUCACCUAGGCGACGAUCCCUAGCUGGUCUGAGAGGAUGACCAGCCACACGGGAACUGAGACACGGUCCAGACUCCUACGGGAGGCAGCAGUGGGGAAUAUUGCACAAUGGGCGCAAGCCUGAUGCAGCCAUGCCGCGUGUAUGAAGAAGGCCUUCGGGUUGUAAAGUACUUUCAGCGGGGAGGAAGGGAGUAAAGUUAAUACCUUUGCUCAUUGACGUUACCCGCAGAAGAAGCACCGGCUAACUCCGUG
rnacentral:rRNA from 1 species